rnacentral:rRNA from 1 species
UAGGGAAUAUUGCAAAAUGGGCGAAAGCCCGAUGCAGCAACGCCGCGUGGGCGAUGAAGGCCUUCGGGUCGUAAAGCCCUUUUUGAGGGGAUGAGGAAGGACAGUACCCUCAGAAUAAGCCUCGGCUAACUACGUGCCAGCAGCCGCGGUAAAACGUAGGAGGCGAGCGUUAUCCGGAUUUACUGGGCGUAAAGCGCGUGCAGGCGGAUUGGAGAGUUGGAUGUGAAAGCUCCCGGCUUAACUGGGAGAGGUCGUUCAAUACUUCCAGGCUUGAGUGCAGUAGAGGGAAGUGGAAUUCCGGGUGUAGUGGUGAAAUGCGUAGAUAUCCGGAGGAACACCAGUGGCGAAAGCGGCUUCCUGAACUGUAACUGACGCUCAGACGCGAAAGCUAGGGUAGCAAACG